rnacentral:rRNA from 1 species
GACUAUUGACGUCGCGGCGCGCGCCUAGCUCACGCGAUAAGUGGUCCCCCUGGGAACUACGAGCGCAAGCCUAAAACUCAAAGGAAUUGACGGGGGCCCGCACAAGCACCGGAGCGUGUGGUUUAAUUCGACGCAACCCGAAGAACCUUACCCAGACUGGACAUGACGGUGCAGACGGCGGAAACGUCGUCGCCUGCGAGGGUCCGUCACAGGUGCUGCAUGGCUGUCGUCCAGCUCGUGUCGUGAGAUGUUGGGUUAAGUCCCGCAACGAGCGCAACCCUGCGGUUAGUUACCCGUGUCUAACCGGACUGCCUUCGGGGAGGAAGGCGGGGAUGACGUCAAGUCCGCAUGGCCCUUACGUCUGGGGCGACACACACGCUACAAUGGCGCCGACAAUGCGUCGCUCCCGCGCAAGCGGAUGCCAAUCGCCAAACGGCGCCCCAGUGCAGAUCGGGGGCUGCAACUCGCCCCCGUGAAGGCGGAGUUGCUAGUAACCGCGUAAGGGCGAAUUCU